rnacentral:rRNA from 1 species
AUUGAACGCUGGCGGCAGGCCUAACACAUGCAAGUCGAGCGGAUGAAGGGAGCUUGCUCCUGGAUUCAGCGGCGGACGGGUGAGUAAUGCCUAGGAAUCUGCCUGGUAGUGGGGGAUAACGUCCUGAAACGGGCGCUAAUACCGCAUACGUCCUGAGGGAGAAAGUGGGGGAUCUUCGGACCUCACGCUAUCAGAUGAGCCUAGGUCGGAUUAGCUAGUUGGUGGGGUAAAGGCCUACCCAGGCGACGAUCCGUAACUGGUCUGAGAGGAUGAUCAGUCACACGGGAACUGAGACACGGUCCAGACUCCUACGGGAGGCCACAGUGGGGAAUAUUGGACAAUGGGCGAAAGCCGGAUCCAGCAAUGCCGCGUGUGUGAAGAAGGUCUUCGGAUUGGAAAGCACUUUAGGUUGGGAGGAAGUGCAGUAAGUUAAUACCUUGCUGUUUUGACGUUACCAACAGAAUAAGCACCGGCUAACUUCGUG